rnacentral:rRNA from 1 species
GGCUUAACACAUGCAAGUCGAGGGGCAUCAGGUAGAAAGCUUGCUUUCUUUGCUGGCGACCGGCGCACGGGUGAGUAACACGUAUCCAACCUGCCCUUUACUCGGGGAUAGCCUUUCGAAAGAAAGAUUAAUACCCGAUAGCAUAAUGAUUCCGCAUGGUUUCAUUAUUAAAGGAUUCCGGUAAAGGAUGGGGAUGCGUUCCAUUAGGUUGUUGGUGAGGUAACGGCCCACCAAGCCUUCGAUGGAUAGGGGUUCUGAGAGGAAGGUCCCCCACAUUGGAACUGAGACACGGUCCAAACUCCUACGGGAGGCAGCAGUGAGGAAUAUUGGUCAAUGGGCGCUAGCCUGAACCAGCCAAGUAGCGUGAAGGAUGAAGGCUCUAUGGGUCGUAAACUUCUUUUAUAUAAGAAUAAAGUGCAGUAUGUAUACUGUUUUGUAUGUAUUAUAUGAAUAAGGAUCGGCUGACUCCGUGCCAGCAGCCGCGGUAAUACGGAGGAUCCGAGCGUUAUCCGGAUUUAUUGGGUUUAAAGGGAGCGUAGGUGGACUGGUAAGUCAGUUGUGAAAGUUUGCGGCUCAACCGUAAAAUUGCAGUUGAUACUGUCAGUCUUGAGUACAGUAGAGGUGGGCGGAAUUCGUGGUGUAGCGGUGAAAUGCUUAGAUAUCACGAAGAACUCCGAUUGCGAAGGCAGCUCACUGGACUGCAACUGACACUGAUGCUCGAAAGUGUGGGUAUCAAACAGGAUUAGAUACCCUGGUAGUCCACACAGUAAACGAUGAAUACUCGCUGUUUGCGAUAUACAGUAAGCGGCCAAGCGAAAGCAUUAAGUAUUCCACCUGGGGAGUACGCCGGCAACGGUGAAACUCAAAGGAAUUGACGGGGGCCCGCACAAGCGGAGGAACAUGUGGUUUAAUUCGAUGAUACGCGAGGAACCUUACCCGGGCUUAAAUUGCAGUGGAAUGAUGUGGAAACAUGUCAGUGAGCAAUCACCGCUGUGAAGGUGCUGCAUGGUUGUCGUCAGCUCGUGCCGUGAGGUGUCGGCUUAAGUGCCAUAACGAGCGCAACCCUUAUCUUUAGUUACUAACAGGUUAUGCUGAGGACUCUAGAGAGACUGCCGUCGUAAGAUGUGAGGAAGGUGGGGAUGACGUCAAAUCAGCACGGCCCUUACGUCCGGGGCUACACACGUGUUACAAUGGGGGGUACAGAAGGCAGCUAGCGGGUGACCGUAUGCUAAUCCCAAAAUCCUCUCUCAGUUCGGAUCGAAGUCUGCAACCCGACUUCGUGAAGCUGGAUUCGCUAGUAAUCGCGCAUCAGCCACGGCGCGGUGAAUACGUUCCCGGGCCUUGUACACACCGCCCGUCAAGCCAUGGGAGCCGGGGGUACCUGAAGUACGUAACCGCAAGGAUCGUCCUAGGGUAAAACUGGUGACUGGGGCUAAG